rnacentral:rRNA from 1 species
AUUGAGCGCUAGCGGGAUGCUUUACACAUGCAAGUCGAACGGCAGCGCGGACUUCGGUCUGGCGGCGAGUGGCGAACGGGUGAGUAAUGUAUCGGAACGUGCCCAGUAGCGGGGGAUAACUACGCGAAAGCGUAGCUAAUACCGCAUACGCCCUACGGGGGAAAGCAGGGGAUCGUAAGACCUUGCACUAUUGGAGCGGCCGAUAUCGGAUUAGCUAGUUGGUGAGGUAACGGCUCACCAAGGCGACGAUCCGUAGCUGGUUUGAGAGGACGACCAGCCACACUGGGACUGAGACACGGCCCAGACUCCUACGGGAGGCAGCAGUGGGGAAUUUUGGACAAUGGGGGCAACCCUGAUCCAGCCAUCCCGCGUGUGCGAUGAAGGCCUUCGGGUUGUAAAGCACUUUUGGCAGGAAAGAAACGUCGCGGGCUAAUACCCCGUGGAACUGACGGUACCUGCAGAAUAAGCACCGGCUAACUACGU